UUCCCUACAUAUCCAAAAGAACUGGGAAAUUUGAAUACUUUUUAGUUCUAUCCCCAAAUCACUUGAAAGUUGAAACAAAAACUUCUGUCAGCCCCAAAGCGCCAAAUCCUCCCUGUUCAUGUAAAGUUUCCCUCUACAAUUUUUGAGUAUCCCUAAAGUUUCCCUCUACAAUUUUUGAGUAUCCCCAAAUCUUCUCUCUGCAACAGUCGAGAUUUAUACCGAUAUGGCAAUAUACCAAAUUCACAUUCCCUCUAAUCCUAUUCACUCCAUCAAACCUAAUAUUCGUAUUAGUCGGCAGAAAGGAAAAAAACCUGUGUUCCUCUCUAAUCAUACGAACACCCAUUGUCCAUCCAUCACUGAUAUCGUCAUCUUUUCCAUAGUCUUCUUCCGCUGCUCUUAAGUGGUUCUGCUAUUGCCAAGCCUCCGAGUUACUGCCGCUUUGAGUACGCAAAGUUCUCAGAUGACUUGAUUGUUGAGAAUUGGUGACCAAGCUUGGAAAGAUGAAGUAGUUUGUGAGAUCAAUUUUGAACUUGCAUCUUGAUCUAAUUUCAGAGCAAAGCUGCAUUGUAUAAGGCAUUGAUCCUAGGUACGAACGUUCAGUUAUCAGAGAAGGUAUUCUGCAUUAACCAUAAAUUAUUAUGGUGGUUUUAAGUUGCAUGUGUCGUUACGAUACUGAUAUCAGGAACUGAGGGUUCCAUAUUAACUUUGAAACAUGGAGUUUAGGCAUAAUCGGCACUUGGGCAGGCAACAUACCUUGUGUGCAGACUAGUAGUAAUUCUCAUGCUUGUUCAAUUGUCCUGGUCUGCAAAUUCAUAAAAAACAGUACCAUUAACAUAGCCUAUAGUCUAUGAAACCAACAUAUAUAACAGAAAAAAAUUAAGAAUUCAAUGUGAAAUAUCGACGAGUAUAAUUCGAUAGUAUUGAGUUCUACUCAUGAGUUGUUAAUGAACAUUAUGACGAAAGCCCCAACAUGAAAUAAAAAAAAAUUCACAUAAUAAGUCUUGGCUGGCCAUGUUAUUCCAAAACUUUCUUGUACUUCCAUGCAGAUCAUCAAUAUGUCCCCCUGAGAGAUUGCUUAAGACAAGGAACAGAAGUUCAAGAAAGCCUGUGGAAAAGCAUGACCUGAACAAGAGUGAGGGGUAAACUGAAUUUCUAAUUGCAUGUCGGUGGCAUUGAGAGACGCUUGAUUUAGAUUACGAGAAUCUUUCCAUAAAUUUUUCUGGAGCAAACUUUGAUUGGAUUGGAAAGCGCUCUAAGGAUGUUUAAUGCCCAAAAAGGAAGGAAUCGAAAAAAUGUCAUUUGGAAAAUCAUCAGUUCAACAACCAAAGUUACAAUCAAGAAGAGAUAGAUGAUGUUCGAGUAGAGCGAGUAGAGUGGGCUGACCUUGUUGAAACAUUACUCCAAGAUGAUGUAGAAUAGUUUGGUAAUUGGUAUAUUUUGCAAAGUAUAUAUUAAGCUGAGUUUUUGUGUAUGCCCAUGUAAAGUUUUAGAUCAGCUAUAGCUUUUUGUAAGCACUAGAAGUACAUGUAAUCUAAUCUCACCAAGACUCGCAGUUGGCAAUGUGUAUUUUGGAUGCCACGAGUCUUGGGAUAAUUUGUACACAUUGCUUGGAAUCUCCAUGACAAAAAUAGUGCGUCCUAAUAGUUAAUGGAAGACAUUAA